rnacentral:rRNA from 1 species
UACGGAGGGUGCGAGCGUUGUCCGGAAUCACUGGGCGUAAAGGGCGCGUAGGCGGCCUGAUAAGUAGGGGGUGAAAUCCUGCGGCUUAACCGCAGGGCUGCCCUCUAAACUGUCAGGCUCGAGCACAGUAGAGGCAGGUGGAAUUCCCGGUGUAGCGGUGGAAUGCGUAGAGAUCGGGAAGAACAUCAGUGGCGAAGGCGGUCUGCUGGGCCGUUGCUGACGCUGAGGCGCGACAGCGUGGGGAGCAAACAGG